GCAGAGUCAGAGCAGAGUAAUAGAAUACAAUAAUGUAUUCUAUUACUCUGGUCAGAGUAAUAGAAUACGAAUUGUUUUGCAACUUCUUUCACAGGAGUAACACAUUGUGUGGUUUAAGUUGUUAGCUACCAUAGUCUCCUGAUAGUUUGAGUCUGACAAUAAGCAAUACCAUAUUGUUAUUUGUUAUUCCCUAUGGUUGCAGAGAUGUUAGCUUGUUGUGAUUUUAGACCCCAGUAUAGACUGAGCCUUUGUAUCUGUGUCAAACCAGUUAUAUCAACUCACUUGUUGUUGACACCCCUGGAGAUAUUACCAAACUUUCGAAAUGGUUGAAGCAGGCGCCCAUAAUAUGUCGAUUCAAUUUCAGUGCUAUCACUGUAAGGAUGGUAACCUGUUAUUAAGUUACACCACCUGUUUCAUUUGGUCAUAGGAUAGAUAGACCAAAAGAGUGAUACUCUUUAAUGUUUGCAGUGUGUUUGUCACAUUCAAUGAAUCCAUAUCUUCUCGUGAAUUGAUGGACUGAAUAAUGUCAGAUUGCCAAAAAAAACAAACACUGGAACCCUUCUGCAUGACUUUGAACCACAAGAUAUUGAUCUUUUUUACAUUCGCCUUUUGGGUUGAACGGUAAAGAGUUUCACGGUUCACUGUUUUAUCCGAAAAUCGUAUAUCCACGAAAUGUUGGCAUCAUUGGUCUAUGAACAGAUAUGCUGAUAACUGAAAUCAAUUGGAUCAGCUGAAAACAUAUGUUGAGACAUCUAUGCAACUUUGUACUUGGAUAUGUGUCAUUCCACUGGUAGUAGAAUCAUUCGAACGUGAGUCUAACUGGUCUAAUGAAAAAUAAGGAUUCAUUCGGUUACCGACUUGACCUGCACGAGGAUUUUAGCCAUAUCGGAUAUCGGAAAGGAACACCUUUACCGAACAUAAUGUUCUUCUAACGUAAAUUAUUGGAUGUUCAUUCUAUUUCGGAUUUAGAUUUCAUUUAGAAAUCCUGGCAGAAGCUUUUCAUUUAUAAGACCAUAGAAGUAUUGCACACACUAAUGUUUUAAAGUUAAUAAACAUAAUAAAUGGAAAAAGGGGUUUCAGAAUGAGGCGGGAGUUUUUUCAAUGCUGAAGUUUGAAAAAACGACCCCUCAUCCGGGAGUUGAACCCGAGACGUUUGGAUCCGUUAAACAACGUUCUACCACAGAGCUAUGAACAUGAACUCUAGUGCCUUCUAAUAUUAGUGCAAAAAGAAAUGUAACUCAUGGCUCAACGGUUGAGCAUCGGCAAUGCACGCCGAAAGAUUGGGGAUCAAUACCCGAAAGAGUUAAAUUAAAAUCUGUGAAAGCAAAUCAAUAUAUCUGAAAGACCGAUAAAUACAAUGAUUGUAAACAAAUUCAUCCUGCAGGAUUGGAAUUUCAUCGGCGGUAAUUCAUAUGUGCUCCGGAAUUCUCAGCAUACAAACUAAACACCAGUGACAUUUCAGCAGUGUUAAAAGUUCAAUCCCUUAAAGAAAAAAGUGUAGUGUCACAAUAAAGACACAGAAAUAAUGUGAACACAAAGAUACUAUAAGAGAAAAGUUUUUCAAAAUGAAUGUAAAACAAAAUUUGUAUUGACAAUUCUCCACGCAAUGAAAUAUUUUGCAACUUUUAAAA